UCUCUCUCUUCCUUCUCUCUCUUUGAGCAAAAAGGAACAAGAUCGAUUGUAGGUCCUUCUGGAUUUAGAACUGAUGGACAGAUCGAUAGUAGGUCCUUUUGGAUUAAUUAUGUUUCCCCACUCUCUACUCCAUCGGCAAUUCCUCUGGUCUACCCUAGAUUGAUAGCCAUUCACGAACUCGAUACAGAGGAGAAUGACGAUUCUCUUAUUCCUCCUCCUAUUCCACUUUCCAGUAUUUUGCUUGGCCGGAGAAAGCCGUCUUCGGCGAACUUUUUUCUUUUUUUUGCUAUUUAGUCACAUUCAAUGAUAAAAAAAUAUUGUAUUCUGUACAAAUACACUCAAAUACAUUGUAUUUUCUUAUAAAUACAUUAUUUUUUCGCCUGUAUUUAUGUAUUCUGAAGAUCUGUAUUUUAUUAAUACAGCCGAAUAUCACUGUGUUUUGUGA